UGCGUCGUGGUGAAGCGGUGAACACAGUGGAAUUUGACUCCAUCAUACGCAGGUUCAAAUCCUGCCGGCGCAG
rnacentral:tRNA from 1 species